rnacentral:rRNA from 1 species
CACGGAGUUAGCCGAUCCUUAUUCGUACGAUACUUUCAACCCGAUACACGUAUCGGGAUUUACCCUCGUACAAAAGCAGUUUACAACUCAUAGAGCCGUCUUCCUGCACGCGGCAUGGCUGGUUCAGACUUGCGUCCAUUGACCAAUAUUCCUCACUGCUGCCUCCCGUAGGAGUUUGGUCCGUGUCUCAGUACCAAUGUGGGGGGUUGACCUCUCAGUCCCCCUAUGUAUCGUCGCCUUGGUGAGCCGUUACCUCACCAACUAGCUAAUACAACGCAUGUCCAUCUCUGACCACCUGAGUUUUCAACCACCGAAGAUGCCUCCGGUGAUGUUAUGGGGUAUUAGUACCAAUUUCUCGAUGUUAUCCCCCUGUCAAAGGUAGGUUACAUACGCGUUACGCACCCGUCCGCCGGUCGCCGGCAUAAGUAGCAAGCUACUUACCCGCUGCCCCUCGACUUGCAUGUGUUAGGCCUGCCGCUAGCGUUCAUCCUGAGCCAGGAUCAAACUCU